AAUGAACGCUGGCGGCGCGCCUAAUACAUGCAAGUCGAGCGAGAAGACGUAGCAAUACGUUUGUAAAGCGGCGAACGGGUGAGGAAUACAUGGGUAACCUACCCUCGAGUGGGGAAGUAACUAGCCGAAAGGUUAGCUAAUACCGCGUACGCUUCUUGGACUUCGGUUCAGGGAGGAAAGCGAUGCCGAGGGUAUCGCGCUCUUGGAUGGGCUCAUGUCCUAUCAGCUUGUUGGGAGGUAACGGCUCACCAAGGCUUCGACGGGUAGCUGGUCUGAGAGGACGAUCAGCCACACU
rnacentral:rRNA from 1 species